CCUGAACGCUGGCGGCGUGGCUAAGACAUGCAAGUCGUACGGUGUAGCAAUACACAGUGGCGAACGGGUGAGUAAUGAAUCGCUAAUGUACCCCGGACUCUGGGAUAGCCGGCCGAAAGGCCGGGUAAUACCAGAUGAUAUAUCUUUAUCGCAUGAUAGAGAUCUCAAAGGUCCGCCGGUCUGGGAGCAGGCGAUUUUGUAUCAGCUAGUUGGUGAGGUAACGGCUCACCAAGGCGAUGACGCAUAGCCGGACUGAGAGGUUGGCCGGCCACAUUGGGACUGAGACACUGCCCAGACUCCUACGGGGGCUGCAGUAACGAAUCUUCCGCAAUGCACGAAAGUGUGACGGAGCGACGCCGCGUGUGGGACGAAGCCCUCGGGGU
rnacentral:rRNA from 1 species